AGUGCCUAAACGAAUGGCUCACACACACAACAACGCUUCCCCCUUAAUGUGAGUGACCGGAAAGAGUACAUGCAUUGACGGUUUUUGUCUCUCGUCGGUUUCCAAAGAGGAGGAUGGUAGACAACCACACAGAGAACAGCGCUUUCUUCUCAUUUUGCAGUGGGUAAAGUUCAUACCAUUAAUCAGCCAAACAAAAUGAUGAUCCGAUCGGGUUUUGCGGUUUAAGAUUUACGAUUUUACAUUUUACAGGGCCUCCUACGGAUACUAAUCCACAAUUUGGCAAUGUGCUUGGUAAAAGAGAUUGAUUUCCUAUGUGACUGAUGCUACCUAUUGCAUGCUUGGGCAUCAUCAAAACCUUCAAUUAAUUUUCAAAGCAUGAUUUGAUAUGCUAUUGCUGGAGGGAACAAGAUCUGUCACUAUCCUUGGAAUGUACAUGGCAAAUGAUAUCACAACUCAUGGCCCAAUCUGCAUAGAUCUACUUGCAUCUAAAUCUGUUAAAUCUAAUCAAAGCCUAAAGGUCAAUUUCAUGCACAAUUCAUGCACAAGGAAAUAAAAGGAAGAUGUCGACACCCACUGAUCAAACCACAAUUAUUGGGCAUAGGGGGUGGGGCAGGCAGCGGACUGCAGUUUUCAAGGAUGGCACCUAUUCGAGAGAAUGGAACUCUUUAACUGAAAAGGGAUUGCCUCCAUGGAUCCCACAGAGAAUAUUUUCCCUUUUUUCUGAGAGAGAAAAUAUUUCCAUGGAUUCUCAGAUACAUAGCCACUUGUGUUGUUUUCUACAAAUAUUUACUUUUUGUAUUAUUGUUGUCUUUCUACUAUAGUUUUUCUAUUUUUUCUCUUUUUUGGAGGAUUCCUUGUUCUCCUGUAUUCUGUAUCCUUUCUCUACUCAUAUACUUCUUCUUUUGCGAUUAAAAAAAAUUACACAUAAAUAGGAAGACAUAGCUUUGUCACUUUUGUCUCAAA